UACGGAGGGGGCAAGCGUUAUUCGGAAUUAUUGGGCGUAAAGAGCGCGUAGGCGGUCCUUUAAGUCAGAUGUGAAAGCCCAGGGCUCAAUCCUGGAAGUGCAUUGGAAACUAAAGGUCUUGAGUAUGGGAGAGGGAAGUGGAAUUCCUGGUGUAGCGGUGAAAUGCGUAGAUAUCAGGAGGAACACCGGUGGCGAAGGCGACUUCCUGGCCCAAUGCUGACGCUGAGGUGCGAAAGCGUGGGGAGCAAACAGG
rnacentral:rRNA from 1 species